CCUUCACGUUUGUUGUUAUUAGGGCAUUUUCCACUCUUGAAGGAAUUGGCUAUUCACUCGAUCCAGAUUUUUCAUUCGUCAAGAUUGCUGCACCUUAUGCACAGGAGCUGUUAGAUCUCAAACAACAGCGG